GGGUUGUGAGGUUAAGCGACUAAGCGUACACGGUGGAUGCCCUGGCAGUCAGAGGCGAUGAAGGGCGUGCUAAUCUGCGAUAAGCGCCGGUAAGGUGAUAUGAACCGUUAUAACCGGCGAUACCCGAAUGGGGAAACCCAGUGUGAUUCGUCACACUAUCAUUACGUGAAUACAUAGCGUAAUGAAGCGAACCGGGGGAACUGAAACAUCUAAGUACCCCGAGGAAAAGAAAUCAACCGAGAUUCCCCCAGUAGCGGCGAGCGAACGGGGAGGAGCCCAGAGCCUGAAUCAGCAUGUGUGUUAGUGGAAGCGUCUGGAAAGGCGCGCGAUACAGGGUGACAGCCCCGUACACAAAAGCGCAUGUGUUGUGAGCUCGAUGAGUAGGGCGGGACACGUGGUAUCCUGUCUGAAUAUGGGGGGACCAUCCUCCAAGGCUAAAUACUCCUGACUGACCGAUAGUGAACCAGUACCGUGAGGGAAAGGCGAAAAGAACCCCGGCGAGGGGAGUGAAAAAGAACCUGAAACCGUGUACGUACAAGCAGUGGGAGCACCCUUUGGGGUGUGACUGCGUACCUUUUGUAUAAUGGGUCAGCGACUUAUAUUCUGUAGCAAGGUUAACCGAAUAGGGGAGCCGGAGGGAAACCGAGUCUUAAUUGGGCGUUAAGUUGCAGGGUAUAGACCCGAAACCCGGUGAUCUAGCCAUGGGCAGGUUGAAGGUUGGGUAACACUAACUGGAGGACCGAACCGACUAAUGUUGAAAAAUUAGCGGAUGACCUGUGGCUGGGGGUGAAAGGCCAAUCAAACCGGGAGAUAGCUGGUUCUCCCCGAAAGCUAUUUAGGUAGCGCCUCGUGAAUUCAUCUCCGGGGGUAGAGCACUGUUUCGGCUAGGGGGCCAUCCCGGCUUACCAACCCGAUGCAAACUGCGAAUACCGGAGAAUGUUAUCACGGGAGACACACGGCGGGUGCUAACGUCCGUCGUGAAGAGGGAAACAACCCAGACCGCCAGCUAAGGUCCCAAAGUCAUAGUUAAGUGGGAAACGAUGUGGGAAGGCCCAGACAGCCAGGAUGUUGGCUUAGAAGCAGCCAUCAUUUAAAGAAAGCGUAAUAGCUCACUGGUCGAGUCGGCCUGCGCGGAAGAUGUAACGGGGCUAAACUAUGCACCGAAGCUGCGGCAGCGACACUA
rnacentral:rRNA from 1 species